rnacentral:rRNA from 1 species
UACGUAGGGUGCAAGCGUUGUCCGGAAUUAUUGGGCGUAAAGAGCUCGUAGGCGGUUUGUCGCGUCUGCUGUGAAAACUGGAGGCUCAACCUCCAGCCUGCAGUGGGUACGGGCAAACUAGAGUGCGGUAGGGGAGAUUGGAAUUCCUGGUGUAGCGGUGGAAUGCGCAGAUAUCAGGAGGAACACCGAUGGCGAAGGCAGGUCACUGGGCCGCAACUGACGCUGAGGAGCGAAAGCAUGGGGAGCGAACAGGAUUAGA